CUUGGGAGUCAGACUGUGGGUGAUAAGAUUCAUAGUCGAAAGGGCAACAGCCCAGAUCGUCAGCUAAGGUCCCUAAAUGUAAGUUAAGUGGUAAAGGAUGGGGGAUUGCACAGACAACCAGGAUGUUGGCUUAGAAGCAGCCACUCAUUCAAAGAGUGCGUAAUAGCUCACUGGUCGAGUGAUCCUGCGCCGAAGAUUUCCGG
rnacentral:rRNA from 1 species